AAACGCUACAUCCACCUUAGGCUAUAUUAUACUACAUUAAUACCAUUACCAAAAGCUAGUGAAUCAAUGUUUUGUUUGAUAAGUAAGAUUAAGUUAGUUAGAUAAAUGACCUUUAGCUUGGUACAGAAAGAGUGGGGGGCGGCUCCUUCCACACCGCUGCAGAAAACCAAACCUGUAUGAUUAGAGCGGGCGGAGCUGAGUCCGUGACACAAACUUGCCUCGCUAUGUCAUAUUUAAUGAAUUAUUUCACUGUAAUAAUAAUAAUAGCUUAUUUAUUUGGUUGUGAAAAAGCUAAACCGUUUUCUCCAUAACAACCUGUGCCCUUUAAGUUCCUUUGUAAUAAAUCAACAACAACAAGAAUUAAUUUUAAAUAAUAGGUGCAACCACAUAAAUAAAUCUUCAGAUAGGCUACUCAGCUACAUUUAAGAAAUUAUUUAAAAAAUAAACUUAUAAGGGACACUUGCAGACAGGUAUCUUGUGAUGGGGAGUAGGAAAAAAGGCGCUCCUAGGCCUUCUCUUGACAUCAGCGGAGACUCGUUCCCUGCUGCAUUUGUGUAUUGUUGACGCAGAAGUAUCUUAUUCUUGUCCACUUUUGUGGCCUUUUUAUUAUUUUUUUGUGAAGUUGAAGACUUCAUCUUCUAUCGCUAAAUCAAUGAGCAAACUCUGAGCACUUCACCGGCGAUGACUCUCUUCCCAGGGCAUGCUGAGCUCGCGCCGCAUCCUGAACGCUCUCUAACUGUUAUAUCGCACUUUGUAAAGAAACUGGUCUGACGGAUAUUGCGUUUUGUGAAAAAAAAUACGUUUUGUACUUGGCCUAAAAUGUGCAUUCUUAAAUGUUAUUAAUGGCAGCAAUUCACACAUAGAUUAAGGUACAUCUGAACAGUGAUUUCCAAUAAUAAAAUCCAAAUGUCAAAAAAUGCCGUUUAUCGCAUUUUGCAACCAAACUCUUCAUAUGUAUGUGUGUUAUGAUUGUAUGACUGCAGAAGAGAACUGCUCUGUUCCCACAACUCAGUUUUUCUGGGACUUGAAAACAGACGCUCAGCAGAUUUUAAAGGGUGGAAUCUUGAUCAAAUCAGAAAGUUACAGUGGAUCUUGAUUUUGGAGAAGGUGAAGUCCAAUCUAAAAGAGUCCCCUCAAGUAUCAUCACCAUGGUACAGUGUCUGUGAAGAUAGUGAAGCAGACCCAGCAUUCACAAAAAAGAGAGGUCCCAUAAAGAGAAGAUCCUGGAGCAAACAGGAAGUACAUGCUGUGGUGAAAGCUGAACCAUUGGCUCUAAAAACCAGAGAUUGGUCAGCUUUGGAUUUUUAUAUUAAAAACUGAAUCUCGACUCUUUAGAUAAAAAAUCUGAAUAACACUUUUAUAUUAAAAUACGACAGAAACAGAAAUAGAACAUACUGACUCAAAGGAAGAUAACUUAGAUGAAGUGCAAGAACUCCUCAUCCUCCAUAGACAGCAAGGGAUUGAAACAAUAUGAAGGAGAGGAAUUAAUAACAGAAUCUUCAUUUUGGGGUGAACUAACCGUUUAAUAUUGUUUGCUAUUGCACUUAACUAAAUGUGUAUACAGACAUGGAAGAGUUAUGUGGAAGCUUGUUAUACCCAAUGAGAACUGCUUUUAGACAUGCAAGAGAGUUUCAUGGAUUUUGUGUUUACUGUUUUUUUGUGUUUAAAGGUUUUGUGGAAAUUAUUUAUAAUAAAUAUAACAUUUAUUAAAUCUAUUCUGGACCAUUUCCUGAUUGGAUCUUGAGGUUCCUUCUGUAUUCAAAUUACAUUUUUUAUAAACUGACCUGCUCUUCAAAUGAAAAUUCUAAAGCAGUUUACUGUCAAAUUACUUGAUUGAGGUUUAAAAUUUAAUAUUAGUAAGGGUGCUGAUCUGAUCCCCACGUUGCCUAAAAACCGGUAAUGUGUGUGUAGAACUGGUCCUUACUUUGACUAAAAAACGGUAAUGUGUGUGUAGACCUGGUCCUUACUUU